CUUCUCCCUUGCUCUACUGCGGCUGGUGGAGGGGGCGGGACUGUCGACCUGAUUCAUCCAAGACACAAUUUGAGGAUGCUGGUGCUGCGCCGGCCGGACGCACUCCUCCGGAACUCCGGGAGCCGGGGAGGCCGGAGGGAGGGGUGUUCCCCGCAGCUCGCAGAGGUCAGCACAGCCCCAGCCCAGACUGGAGGAACUGACCGCGGCGUUCCUACCAUUUAUAUGUCAGGGAGCGGCGGGAACCUGCAGGUGGGACCGCAUGAUUCCUGCUGAAGGACUCAUCUGAGGCGAGUCUCUAGGAGGCUGGGCGUCCUCUGCACAACCCCGUCAUGAGAGCAAUUGGGUUUGCCCCCUGCCUGCCAGGACAGCGCCCUCAGCACCCCUGUUGGCAGGGCCGCGGUCCAGGGCAGACGGCCCUCACCUCCCAGGGCCUUGCAGGCAGCACCUUGUGCUAAAGUUGGCCUAAGCAGGAAGCUGCUCUCAGGGCAUUUGAGAGAGGGGAGUGGGAAUGCGAGCCAAAAGGAAGUCACGAAGAUCAACUUAAAAAUAGCACCCCCUCCAGGUCAGUCAGGAGGAGGAACUUGUAGAAAAGCCAAGUUCUGAUGGUGAUGGCUCAGGGCGACGUCAGAAAAGCCCAAAAGCAAAUCAGCAGAGGCCGGGCUUGGAGCACAUCUCAUGCUCUUAUCAGCCUCAGCAAACCACUGCCAAGACCCCUUCUUCUCCUUAGACUUCCGCCCCAGCCAGCAUCUGUUUCCUCUCCUAAAUUUAAACAACCAGGUUAGUGAACUUGAGAGAGCAUUUCUGCCCAGAGAACAGCAGACCCUCCUACGCCCUCAACAGAACACACAGGACACACAAUGACACCAACUCCUCCUCAGCUUCUGCUGGGUGAGUGGGGCCCAGGGUUUCUGAGAAGGCCUCAGCUCCCAUUAUUCCAGGCAGAAAGCCACAAAGCUGAAGUCUGAAGAAGACCUCAGCUUGAAAGAGAGUAGGCAGGCCAGAUGGCUGGGUUGUCCCAGGUUGAGCAGUGUGUGAUGCCUUCCAACACGGGAUAAGGUGAAGGGGGCCCUCAGGAAAGCCAGAAAUCCACAAAACAACACUUGUUCCACGGCCCCAGCCCUGAGUGUUGAUGGGUAAACCUCUUAACACAGCUAGUAUUGGGAUAAAUCAGACCUUCUGGCUUUUUCUAGGCACCAUUCUCACUCUUAUCUAAAUAGAGCUGUUUGCUUAGGGGAAGGUGACAGCAACUACCUAGAACCUUUCCCUGGUUCUGCUGGCUUCUCAGUCCCAGACUAUUAUGGCCCCAUCCCACACUCUCUCACUCUCACUCUCCCUUCCUCCCUCUGUCCCAAGUGCAGGAGUGCAAGCUCAUGCUUGCGCAUGUGUACACACACACACAUGCACACACUAGCCUCAUGGAAACAUUUAGGGCAAAGAGGGAUGUCUGAGGAACCCUCGAUAAAGUCUCUCCUGGAGAGACUGAGUCCAUAUCCUUUCUCUUAGGCUAUCAGGCCUCAGACAUUUCCAAGAAAUGUUCUUCCUAAGUAGCUUUAUGCUGCUAUGGCAAUACAGGGUGACUUCCUUGGAUUUAGCAGUAGUCAAUGGAAAAAAAAAAAAAGCGAGGACUGCUCCUGUUAAUUGCAUCCUGCUGUCUAGAUUGCCUGUCACUCUCUUCUCUACAUACCCCAGGCCAUUUGUUGCAGCCAAGCUACUAGAUUUCUCUUCCUUUCCUUACAUAUAGAAAACUGGUUAAAUGUGUCCUAUUCUGAGAAUUUGCCCUGAGUAGAGCAUUUCUGAAUUUCAGUCCACAAAAAACACAUGCCAGAAUCAUACUAGGAUUCAAAACCCCAGCCCUGCCACUUAGUGGCUGUGUGAGUUUUGGCAAAUUGCUUUAAUUGUUCUGAGCUUAUUUUCACAUCUGUAAAGUGAGACUGAAAGAGGUUAAUAAAAGCCACUUCAAAGAGCUGUGAAGUGGAUUCAAUGAGAUGUUAGUUAUAGAUACCUGGCACCUUGCCCAACAACAAAAAGUGGGUCCUCAGUGGGUUGAUGCACUUUUCUACUGCUGCAUGGAUUAUCUAUUUCUGUUUGGUGUGUUCCCCUUCAUACUCCACAUCAAAAACUUCAGAGCUUCAUAUUAAAACCAGUGCCCCUCUCAGCAUUAGCCUCAUAAUGACUCCCCAGUAAUAACAGCAAAUAUUAGUUGAGUAGUUUCUAUGCAGACUGGGUUCUUUUGUAUCUUAACACAUCCCUGUGAGGCGGAUAUCAUUUUGUACCCAUUUUAUAGAUAAGUAGGCUGAGGUUCAGUGACUUACUCAAGAACACAUAUGCAGUUCAUGGUAGAGCCAGGAUCUGGACCCAAGCAGGCUGGCUCCAGAGGAACCACUUUUAACCUUUUUGCUAUACCUGUGCUAACUGUUUGACAGAUUGUGGCUCCCACUGUUAGGGACUUUUUCUGAAUAUAAGACAGACAUGGAUGGUCUU
rnacentral:lncRNA from 10 species